CCUACGGGAGGCAGCAGUGGGGAAUAUUGGACAAUGGGCGAAAGCCUGAUCCAGCAAUGCCGCGUGAGUGAUGAAGGCCUUAGGGUUGUAAAGCUCUUUUACCCGGGAUGAUAAUGACAGUACCGGGAGAAUAAGCUCCGGCUAACUCCGUGCCAGCAGCCGCGGUAAUACGGAGGGAGCUAGCGUUAUUCGGAAUUACUGGGCGUAAAGCGCACGUAGGCGGCUUUGUAAGUAAGAGGUGAAAGCCUGGUGCUCAACACCAGAACUGCCUUUUAGACUGCAUCGCUUGAAUCCAGGAGAGGUGAGUGGAAUUCCGAGUGUAGAGGUGAAAUUCGUAGAUAUUCGGAAGAACACCAGUGGCGAAGGCGGCUCACUGGACUGGUAUUGACGCUGAGGUGCGAAAGCGUGGGGAGCAAACAGGAUUAGAUACCCGUGGUACGUCCGACGCCGUAAACGAUGAUAACUAGCUGUCGGGUUCUAGAACUUCGGUGGCGCAGCUAACGCAUUAAGUUAUCCGCCUGGGGAGUACGGCCGCAAGGUUAAACUACAAAUGAAUUGACGG
rnacentral:rRNA from 1 species